GCUUCAAUCAGUGACUACUGCAUUUUUAUUAUAAAGACCUUUAUGAUGUUAAAUUAUGCACAUUCAUAAUAAAUGCUAACACAUACUUUUAAAGUUCUUGAUUGUUCAUUAGACAUUAUAUGUCCUCAGUGUGGCAGUCUGACAAACCCUUGGAAAAAAUUGUUAAGCUUUUGCAUGCUUCAUGCUUCAUGAUUAUUCCGCAUAUUGUUUGCCUGUGAUAUUAUUUGCACAAAUAUAUUAUUUCUCAUUUGUGUAAAGUUGUAAUCAGUUAACAUAUCAUUUUUAUAUUCCUUCAAAAAUUUGUUGGCAUAUUUGUUUCAAGGAAAAAGGUUGAGGCCAGAUUGUCUUCAAGGCAAUGGGAAGAGCUAUAGACAAAACGGUGAUGAUUGUGGAGCUAAUUAAGAGAAGGAUUGUGGGUCUUCAUCAAAUUACUACUAUUGGUGCGCUAUUGGUGCAAAGAAUGAUUGUGGGUCUAUGAGGAUCAGGACAAAGGGAGGAGAAUGCAAUCAAAUAGAGAGGUGAGGGGCUUACGAGAGAUAGAGACGAGGUGAGGACAGG